CACGUAGGAGGCGAACGUUAUCCGGAUUUACUGGGCGUAAAGCGCGUGUAGGUGGUACUGUAAGUAGGGCGUGAAAGCUCCUGGCUCAACUGGGAGAGGCCGUUCUAAACUACAGAACUAGAGGAUGGUAGAGGGAGGUGGAAUUCCAGGUGUAGCGGUGGAAUGCGCAGAUAUCUGGAGGAACACCGGUGGCGAAGGCGGCCUCCUGGACCAUUCCUGACACUCAGACGCGAAAGCUAGGGUAGCAAACGGGAUUAGAUACCCGCGUAGUCCCUGA
rnacentral:rRNA from 1 species